AUGGAGGCGCAUGGAGGAGGAUUAAUGCGACACUUUGGUGUAAAGAAGACUGAGGACGUACUUGCUACACAUUUCUUUUGGCUAAAGAUGAGACAGGAUGUUGAGCGUUUUAUUGCUCGCUGCACUACAUGUCAAAAAGCUAAGUCACGACUCAAUCCUCAUGGUUUAUAUAUGCCUUUGCCUGUACCUAGUGUUCCUUGGGAGGAUAUAUAUAUAUAUAUGGACUUUGUUUUAGGUUUACCUCGAACAAAGAAGGGGAGGGAUAGCAUAUUUGUUGCCAUGGAUAGAUUCUCGAAAAUGACACACUUUAUACCAUGUCAUAAAAGCGAUGGUGCUGUUAAUGUUGCUGAUUUGUUCUUUCAUGAAAUUAUUCGUUUGCAUGGUGUGUCAAAUACUAUUGUUUUAGAUCGUGAUACUAAAUUUCUUAGCCAAUUUUGGAGAUGUUUAUGGGCUAAGUUGGGGGACUAA
rnacentral:rRNA from 1 species